rnacentral:rRNA from 1 species
GACGAACGCUGGCGGCGUGCUUAACACAUGCAAGUCGAACGGAAAGGCCCUGCUUUUGUGGGGUGCUCGAGUGGCGAACGGGUGAGUAACACGUGAGUAACCUGCCCUUGACUUUGGGAUAACUUCAGGAAACUGGGGCUAAUACCGGAUAGGAGCUCCUGCUGCAUGGUGGGGGUUGGAAAGUUUCGGCGGUUGGGGAUGGACUCGCGGCUUAUCAGCUUGUUGGUGGGGUAGUGGCUUACCAAGGCUUUGACGGGUAGCCGGCCUGAGAGGGUGACCGGCCACAUUGGGACUGAGAUACGGCCCAGACUCCUACGGGAGGCAGCAGUGGGGAAUAUUGCACAAUGGGCGGAAGCCUGAUGCAGCAACGCCGCGUGCGGGAUGACGGCCUUCGGGUUGUAAACCGCUUUCGCCUGUGACGAAGCGUGAGUGACGGGAAUGGGUAAAGAGGCACCGGCUAACUACGU